rnacentral:rRNA from 1 species
GACGAACGCUGGCGGCGUGCUUAACACAUGCAAGUCGAACGGGCCUGUCUUCUUUUUUGGGGGGUGGGUUGAGUGGCGAACGGGUGAGUAUCACGUGAGUAACCUGCCCUUCGGUCCUGGAUAACCGCUUGAAAGGGCGGCUAAUACGGGGUGGUCCGGUUGGUCCGCAUGGGCUGGUCGGGAUAGAUUCACUGUUUUUGGUGUUUCGGCGGGGGAUGGGCUCGCGGCCUAUCAGCUUGUUGGUGGGGUGAUGGCCUACCAAGGCGGUGACGGGUAGCCGGCCUGAGAGGGUGGGCGGCCACAUUGGGACUGAGAUACGGCCCAGACUCCUGCGGGAGGCAGCAGUGGGGGGUAUUGCACAAUGGGCGGAAGCCUGAUGCAGCGACGUCGCGUGAGGGAUGGAGGCCUUCGGGUUGUGAACCUCUGUUCCCGGUGGUGAAGGCCCUGUCCGUGUGGUGGGGUUGACGGUAGCCGGGGAUGAAGCGCCGGCUAACUACGUG